rnacentral:rRNA from 1 species
CAGUAGCCGCGGUAAUACAGAGGGUGCGAGCGUUAAUCGGAUUUACUGGGCGUAAAGCGUGCGUAGGCGGCUUUUUAAGUCGGAUGUGAAAUCCCUGAGCCUAACUUAGGAAUUGCAUUCGAUACUGGGAAGCUAGAGUAUGGGAGAGGAUGGUAGAAUUCCAGGUGUAGCGGUGAAAUGCGUAGAGAUCUGGAGGAAUACCGAUGGCGAAGGCAGCCAUCUGGCCUAAUACUGACGCUGAGGUACGAAAGCAUGGGGAGCAAACAGGAUUAGAUACCCCCGUAGUCCCUGUCUCUUAUAC